GCGGCAAAGGCACGACGUGAGGCGAGCCAGCACACAGACCAGGGUCCCGACAGCAGCCGGCACCUCGUGUCCGUCGCCUGAAGAAGGACUCCAAGACGAAAGCUAGAGGCGCGCUACAGGAAAGAGGGGAGACGCGCACUUGCAAGCGACUUGAACUUUUGUUAUUCGGAAGCGAUGAGGCGGCCCACGUACGUCGCCGCGGCGCUGCUGCUCGCAGCUCUAUCGCCGUCUCUGGCGGCCGACGCUGACCCCGGA